UCAAACUUGGUCAUUUAGAGGAAGUAAAAGUCGUAACAAGGUUUCCGUAGGUGAACCUGCGGAAGGAUCAUUAACGAAUUGAACGAAAGUUCUAUUUUCCAACACCUGUGAACGAAUUAUUUUGCUUUGGUCAGAUUUCGGUCUGGCCAAAAUAUUAAACACUUUAUAUUUAACCUGAGUCUGAAACUUGAAAUAAUGAAAUUAUUCAAAACUUUCAACAACGGAUCUCUUGGUUCUCGCAUCGAUGAAGAACGCAGC
rnacentral:misc_RNA from 1 species